CCUGAAUUACACAGCCGCUCAGCCAAGGAGCUGAGUCAGAUUACCGCAGUCUGUUUAAUAUACAACAUCUAAAGGCUAAAGGAGCUAGAGCCUCAUGCAGGCCGUUCAAAUGACAGACGCACUGAGUCAGCAUACGUCGUCUCUUGUGGUCAUCAGGACGACGGCAGCAGCUUGAGACAGAUACAGAACACUCGACUGUCUGCAGGUUUGCCUUCUUGUGGGUCCCAAUUCCCAGGAGAAGAGAGGGAGUUUGGUGUUAUGUGGAUUGAGUGAUGGUCAGCCUAACGGUGCAAUCUUCAGGCAAAGGAUCAUUGCAAGUUGUUUGUCUCUUUGUCAGCAAGAUUAUACGAAUGACUGCCAAGCAGAUAUUUCAUCACACUUGGUGGAGAGGGGAUUUAAGGAGCAUUUUGGUGCAGAUCCAGAUGAGUUUCUUUUAAAUAUUUGAAUAAAAAUGGAUUCCAUUGGUUAACAGAACAUUUGAUGUUAUGUGCAUAUUUAAACCAUCCAUCCAUCCAGUUCUUUUAACAUUAAAUCUUAAUAACAUAAAUUCACAAACGUUUAACUUAGAGGACCCACUUUGUUUUAAUUCCAAUGGUUAGGGGGUCAAGGGUGGGGUUAUAAAGACUUUUGGGUGGGUGGGUCUAAUUGACAGGAUAUGAUAUAAUGUGAUUGUUAGUAUAGUCAGG
ensembl:lncRNA